ensembl:lncRNA
AUAUAUAUAUAUAUAUAUAUAUAUAGAUAUAUAUAUAUAUAUAUAUAUAUAUAUAUAUAUAUAUAUAUAUAUAUAUAUAUAUAUAUGAUAUAUAUAUAUAUAUUAUAUAUAUAUGAGUACAUCAAGGAUAAGGCCCCGACAGAUGACGUGCUGAGUGAAUGUCUCAGGCAGUGGAGAACAGAGGAUGAGAUGCUGGAAGAGGGACCAUCAUGGGAGGACAAGCCCUUGCACGGGAUGUACCACCGGAACAUAACUGAAGUGGCUGAUCUCAACAAAUCCUACCAAUGGCUUGAAAGGGCUGGGCUGAAGGACAGCACAGAGGCACUCAUCCUGGCUGCACAGGAGCAGGCCCUGAGCCCUAGAGCCAUAGAAGCCCAGAUCUACCACACCAGACAAGACCCAAGGUGUAGACUGUGCAAAGAGGCCCCAGAGACGGUCCAGCACAUAACUGCAGGGUGUAAGAUGCUGGCAGGCAAAGCAUACAUGGAACGCCAUAACCAAGUGGCUGGCAUAGUAUACAGGAACAUCUGCGCGGAGUAUGGACUGGAAACCCCAAGGUCAAAGUGGGAAACACCUCCCAAGGUGGUAGAGAACGAGCGAGCCAAGAUCCUGUGGGACUUCCAGAUCCAGACUGACAGAAUGGUAAUGGCGAACCAACCAGACAUUGUGGUGGUGGACAAAGAGCAGAGGAAAGCUGUAGUGGUGGAUGUGGCAAUACCAAGCGAUGGCAACAUCAGGAAAAAGGAACAUGAGAAACUAGAGAAAUACCAAGGGCUCAGAGAAGAACUGGAGAAGGCUUGGAAGGUGAAGGCCACAGUGGUGCCUGUGGUGAUCGGAGCACUGGGGGCUGCGACCCCCAAAUUGGAGGAGUGGCUACAACAGAUCCCUGGAAAAACAUCCGACAUCUCAGUCCAGAAAAGUGCAGUCCUAGGAACAGCAAGGAUACUGUGCAGAACCCUCAAGCUCCCUGGCCUCUGGUAGAGGACCCGAGCUUGGAAAGUGGAUGAGACCACCCGCAGAGGGUGAGAAUAGAGAGAGAGAGAGUAUAUAUAUAUACACACUCCAUUCUCACCCUCCUUAUAUAUAUAUAUAUAUAUAUAUAUAUAUAUAUAUAUAUAUAUAUAUAUAUAUAUAUAUAUAUAUAUAUAUAUAUAGUACAUUUUUAC